GUGCUCGCUUCGGCAGCACAUAUGCCAAAACUGGAGCGACACAGAGAAGAUUAGCAUGGCCCCUGUGCAAGAAUGACAUGCAAAUUCAUGAAGCAUUCCAUAUCUUU